UACGGGGGGGGUAAGCGUUGUUCGGAAUUACUGGGCGUAAAGAGCUCGUAGGCGGUUUGUUGCGUCGGCUGUGAAAUCCCGAGGCUCAACCUCGGGUCUGCAGUCGAUACGAGCAAACUAGAGUGUUGCAGGGGAGACUGGAAUUCCUGGUGUAGCGGUGAAAUGCGCAGAUAUCAGGAGGAACACCGGUGGCGAAGGCGGGUCUCUGGGCCGUAACUGACGCUGAGGAGCGAAAGCGUGGGGAGCGAACAGG
rnacentral:rRNA from 1 species